AACCCGUGGCCUCCUAAUUAUUGAUAGUUUGCAAGUUCUUAUGCUGCGCAGGAUUUGGCUCAUCUUCUGAAUUUACACUACAUGAAAAGAUGCACUGAUGAGAACCAGAAUAUCUAUUUCAUAUAUUUACCACCAUUGGAUUGAACUGUAAGAGCAAUGUCCUACAGCAUCAUUUCUAUUCACAAGUUCAUCCAAGCCAUUUUGAAGCUGACUCUGCAAUAGCCUUCACUCCUGCAGACUUUACAAUGGAGAGAACAAUCAGCAAACACUAAGCACCAAGCGGUGCUGUAUUUCCAGCUGUAUUUUCCCCUUCAUGGGGAAAAGCAAUAAAUAAAAUUGAAAAUGUC